UCUUUGCUAGUAUAUCGGUUAGUACACGCGCCUGUCACGUGAAUCUUCGUGCGCGCGAAAGCUGGGUUCGACUCCCAGGCAAAGAG